rnacentral:lncRNA from 1 species
AAGAUGGUCUUUAGGGUCCCUUCCAAGCCCAAGCACCCAGGGAUUCCAUCAUUCUAGCAUCUCCCUUGUCCACUUCAGCCUGGGCCUGGGCUCCUGGCACUGAUGUCACAGUGCACGCUCCAGCUAGAACUUCCAGCAUCCAGCAACGGCCACAACACAACCCUUGGCUCCUUGUGUCAGCACGCUCUUCACCCUGCUCCAGGCCUACCCCUGUCACCUUGUUGUCACCUGCUCCCUCAUACCCCCAGCAGUCCCCAAAGCUCCCCGUUGAGUGCAUUUUGCUCUCCAUCCCUGCAGGAUGUCUGCAUUUGCUCCAAAGAAGGCUGGCACAGACACAGAGGAGGAGAUGGAGGUGGAUACACAGAUGGAUACGGACAAGAAAAUGGAAGUGGAUGGAGAGAACACCAGAGAGGAAGAGAUGGAUGUGGAUGUGGAUCAGACGGAAGUAGAAAUGGAGGUGGACAUGGAAGACAAUAUUGAGGAGAUGGAUAUUGAUGUAAAAGACGAGGAGGAGGACAUGGUGUUGGGAUGAAGACCGAUGCCAGCAGCAGAACAGGCAGGUGCUCCCCACAGGCAGAGUGGGUCCCCUGCUGCCAGCCUGGGGCUGGGCUGGGCACUCCCUGCUCAGGGACACGCUAGCCCAUGCACUGGAUUCUGCUGGCCAUCCCUGGCCUGGCCUGGGCUUGCUUUGGGCCACACAAGCCCUGUUCCAGUGCCUGGGACACAGCCCCCAGCCCCAGCCAGCCUCACUUCUGGCAGCAGAGUCCCACUGUGCCAGUGUCCCAGCCUGGCAGCACAUGGAACACCCCUCCAUGCCUGACUGCACUGACCGUGCUACUUGUUUUUCUUCCAGGACUGAGGCACAUCCCGGACACAGAUGCCACCCUGCUGUAUAUACGUUUUACAGUUGUUGUGUUCUGAUAGAUGUUUUAGAGUUUGCUGUAGUGUUCUGUAAAUACGUUUCAUGUAGUUUUCUUAGAUAUGUUCUUAGGUAAAUAGGUUCUAUAGUUUGUUGUUGUUGUUACCAAUAUUCUUACAAUGUAAAUAUGUUGUGUAGUUCAUUCUUGUUCCUUUUCUUCUACCAAUAAACAUUCUUUGUUUUUCA